rnacentral:lncRNA from 1 species
UUUCUCUCUUGUGACAGCUAGGUGGUGCAGUGGAUAGAACCUCAGCCCUGGAGGCAGGAAGUCCUAAGUUCAAAUCUGAACUCAGACACUUACUAACUAUGUAACCCCGGGCAAGUCCUUAACCCUGUUGGACUCAGUUUUCUCAUCUGUCAAAUGAGCUGAAGAAGGAAAUGGCAAACCACUCCAGUAUCUUUAUAAGAAAACUCCAAAUGGAGCCACAAAGUGUCAAACAAUUGAAAACAGCUAUAAACAUAACCUUCUCCCUUCUCUUCUUUCUCUCUCUUCUCUCCUCUCUCUCUCUCCCCACUCCUCUCUCUCUCUCUCUCUUUCUCUCUCUCUCUCUCUCUCUCUCUCUCUCUCUCUCUCUCUCUCUCUCUCUCUCUCUCUCUCUCUCUCUCUCUCUGUUUUUCCUCUCCUCUCCUGUCCUAUCUUUUCCUGUUGUCUUCUCUUGUCUUUUCUCUCUCUUCUUUCUGCUCUCUCUCUUCUUCUCUUUUGUCUUUCCUCUUCUCUCUCUCUCCCACCUCUCUCCCCCCUCUCUUUUUCUCUCUCCUCACUCUUCUCUCUCACCUCUUUCCUUUUCUCUCUCUUCUCUUUUCUAUUUCUCUUCUUCUCUUUCCCCUCUCUCCUCUCUUCUCUCUCCCCUCUUCUCUCUUUUACUUUCUUUCUCCCUCUUUUCUCUUCUCUCUCUCCCCCUUCUCUUUCUCCCUCUUCUGUCUUUCCUCUACUUUCUCCAUUUUUCCUCUCCUCUCCUGUCCUCUCCUCUCUUUUUCUGUUGUCUUCUCUCUCUUCUCAUCUUUUCUCUGUCUCUUCUCUUUUCUCUCUCUGCUUCUCUCUUCUCUCUCCCUUCUCUCUUCCCCUUCUCUCCUCUCUCUUCCCCUUCUCUCUCUUUUCUCUUCUCUUUCUCUCUCUUCUUCUCUUUUCUCUCUCUGUCUCUCUCCCCCCUUCCCUCUCUCCUUUACUCUGUUUUUCCUCUCCUCUCCUGUCCUCUCUUUUUCUGUCAUCUUCUCUCUCUCCUUUUCUCUCUCCACUUCUCUCACACUCCUUCUCUUUUCUCUCUCCACUUCUGGUCUCAGA